GGUAAGAUGGCUGAUUUUUAAGUGGUGGGUUGUAGCCCCAUAAAGGGAGGUUCGAAUCCUUCUCUUAUCA
rnacentral:tRNA from 2 species